UACGGGGGGGCAAGCGUUGUUCGGAAUUACUGGGCGUAAAGGGCUCGUAGGCGGCCAACUAAGUCGGACGUGAAAUCCCCAGGCUCAACCUGGGAACUGCGUCCGAUACUGGAUGGCUUGAAUCCGGGAGAGGGAUGCAGAAUUCCAGGUGUAGCGGUGAAAUGCGUAGAUAUCUGGAGGAAUACCGGUGGCGAAGGCGGCAUCCUGGGACCGGCAUUGACGCUGAGGAGCGAAAGCCAGGGGAGCAAAGCGGG
rnacentral:rRNA from 1 species